CAACAACAGGCUCGGUGAAAUUGUAAUUACGGUGAAGAUGGCGGGUACCGGCGGCGGGCCGGUAUGACCCCAUGAAGCUUUGCUGUAGCUUGACAUUUGGUGUUGGUUCUACAUGUGCAGGUUGGUUGGGAGGCUUUGAGACCAGGACUCCAGUUUGGGCGUGGCCAUCCUUGGGAUACCACCCUUGUAAUACUGGGACUCUAACCAUAGGCCAUGAAUCUGGUC
rnacentral:rRNA from 1 species